rnacentral:ncRNA from 2 species
CAAGACCACGCGGGAGAGACCCCGGCAGGGGCGCCGACGGGGCAAUACUCCCCAGUAACCUCUCAGGCACCAGGACCGCGUGGAAGAG